rnacentral:rRNA from 1 species
GUCCAUGCCGUAAAACGAUGGGCACUAGGUGUAGAGGGUUUCAACCCCUUCUGUGCCGUAGUUAACGCAUUAAGUGCCCCGCCUGGGGAUUACGGUCGCAAGACUAAAAACUCAAAAGGAAUUGACGGGGGCCCGCACAAGCGGUGGAGCAUGUGGUUCAAUUCGACGCAACGCGAAGAACCUUACCUGGGUUUGACAUCUCCCAAAUUCUUGAGAAAUCAAGAAGUGCCUUGUAAAAAGGGUGGGAAGACAGGUGCUGCAUGGCUGUCGU